rnacentral:rRNA from 1 species
UACAGAGGUGGCAAGCGUUGCUCGGUAUCACUGGGCUUAAAGGGCGCGUAGGCGGUGCGGUACGGUUUCGGUGAAAUCCCUCGGCCCAACCGAGGAACAGCCGGAGCUACGGCCGGACUAGACGGCAUCAGGGGACAGUGGAACUCCCGGUGGAGCGGUGAAAUGCGUUGAUAUCGGAAGGAACGCCGGUGGCGAAAGCGGUCCGCUGGGUCCCCACUGACGCUGAGGCGCGAAAGCCAGGGGAGCAAACGGG